rnacentral:misc_RNA from 1 species
UAAACAGUGAAAUUGCUGCAGCACUGAAAUUCGUCAAAUGGUAAGAGUGAGUUAUAACAGUUUUAUUGAAUUCAAGUCUUUCUCUAAACUGGCACUCGUACUUCCUUAACAACGGAUUCCAAGGAACCAAGACAGGACUUGCUUAAUGAACCUAGUUUAGUAAUCUAAGAUUAGCGGAAAUGACAACGGAUGACAAUCAUUAAACUUACGUUCAUCAACCUUGUAGUUAUCUCGUGCUGUGCAGAUGUUAAAUGAGCACGAAACCUAUAGGAACAGAAUAUACAAUAGCCAUUGCAAACAUCAAUAGUUCUCUGCUACAGGUCUAGAAGGAAAGAGCCUUAUGAAAAAGGUUAACAAUGACCAGAGGCAAACCACACCGAGAACUUGGAAGGUUACUAUCAUAACAAUUAAGGCGUUGUUUCUUUCCAACAACUCUGCAGACUCGGGAAGCCCUCUCAUGGACAACAUUAAUUUCUCGAUAAAAUGAGCAGCUUUGGUUAAUUGAUAUAUUCUAUAAACCUCAAAUAUAAUAGGAACUAAAGGCCAGCAAGAUGAUCUCCGCUGGUCCAGACGAAUCUCAAAACCACGUUGAGCAAUGCAGCCAACUAAGAACGGAAAAACAGAAACCAAGGCAGGUAGGCCAAGCACUGGCCAAGUUACAUACGCAACCAACAGAGGGAAGAUGACCUUAAAGCCCAUAGCAAAGAAGGCUGAUGUCAAGUAUCCUUUAAGGCCUGUAAUGAGACCCCACCUCUUUGGGCUAAAUUGCAGAUAUGGCCUCUGAACUCGAUCAGUUACAAGUACGAAUAUUGCAAGACCAACAUAAAACAUCGCUUCAAAAGAAAUUGAUCCCACAAUUUCUGCAUAAUAAUUAGCAUAAAUAUGUUUAUGGAUUUCUUUUUGGCUAAUUGCUUAUGUACACAGUCUUAUUGAUAUGAAAUACAUGAUUGAAUAGGUGAAACUUUUACCCCUUACUAGGGAUAAAUAGAAGCUCAACAACAUUUUGAAAAUUACCAGCUUAGUUUACCCUCAAGGUCCUUAACAAGAAAGUGAAAAACAACUUUCUUUUGCAUCACAUCUGCCAAUCAUAAGCUUAUUGCUAGCACCCGAAAAAACAAAAAGCAGGAUAGCCAGCUACUGAAUAAAUUGCGAAGCCAUAUACAGCAUGCACAAACAUUUAUUUGAAGAGAGGCGUAAUUUACAAAUGCAUUGUCCUAUAAAAUGGACCUGGUAGCUCAUUAUUUGAUCUCAUGACAUUGGUAACUUAUAACAGAAAGAUUUCAGAAACUUGAAUUGAACUUAUAGAUCUAUAUAAAUUUUUCUGAGUUCACUUAACUGAAGGAUUCUUUCCCAUUCCAAAACAUGAACCAGAAAAGAGUAAUUCCAACCAUUCACAAAUCUGGAAUUGCGCAAUAAUACUGAAAUUGGGACCUCAACUAACUCAUAGAGACAACUGGACAUGGAAAACCAGUUAACUCAUAGUCAAAUUGACCCACAACAGAAAGUAUAAUUCACAAGCAAAGCAAUAAUUUAUCUUUUGCCAAGAAGGCAUUUCAAGAUUGAGCAACCCAUAAGUAUAAUAAAACAAGCUACCAGAGGAAAGGAGGUUGAAGAACUGAGUUCGACAAGUACCUACAAGAACCUCAUCCCUGAUGAAAGCCUCAAUUGCAUUUGCAACGAAGAACUGGGGAACAAUCAGUGAUGAUAUCAAUGCGACCGGCCCCAAAACCCAAAGAAGCGAUCCUUUGUCUUCAGCAAAAGGAGUUGAUACCAAUUUUCCUUCUUCCACCGAUUGGUGAGUCAACCCAUAAAAGGAAGCAGAACCUGAUUUCCCUCUAAAUGGUUCCGAACCAUGAAACCUAUCAGCAGGUACAGCAGCAUCAUCUCGACCCAAAAGCUUCAAAUUUGUGUUUCCACUAGAAUUGGAACUAGAAGCACGUACAAUAACUCCUCUGUUCAAGCAUGAUGACGGAAACCCUUUAAAUACAUUAUCCAAGCCCGGAAUCAGAAAUGCUGGGAAAGAACAAACUAGUUAGAGCACAAAAGCUGAUCAUAUUCACCUUAAACUUGGUCUCUAUUCUAAUAUUAACCGGACUCAGUAUUACCUAAUAAAUUAAUAUAGAAUAAUGAAUAUCAGGUAAAUUAAUUUUCCUUGCCUUUCUUUAGUUUCUCAACAAUCAAAUAGAGUAUGAAUGCGAAUUAACAGGUAAAAUGAGAGAUUGAAGAGAAAAACGUACAUUUUGAGGCACUUCCAAGCCUUGAAGGAACAAUUUGCUGAUACAAUAGACGAUAAGCUGGAAAUCUGAGUUUUGGAGCAGUAAACCCACGACAAACUGAUUGCAGUUCCAUUUUCUGGGAAGGAUUAUAGGGUUUAAAGGUAACAGUUGGCGAGCUUUCUCCGUUUUGAAUGUUUUUUUGGUGAUUCAGGACUUAAACCCUAGAAGCCUAAACUCUGCACAGAAUGUGAGAAUCAAAAUCUUGAGGGUAAAUCUAAAUAUUCAGUUGGCCCAACUCCAACAGAACCCACCAGCCAAGACUCACAGAGAACAUUUACACUGUGGGCUGCAG